rnacentral:rRNA from 1 species
GACGAACGCUGGCGGCGUGCUUAACACAUGCAAGUCGAACGAAGUGGCGAACGGGUGAGUAACGCGUAAUCAACCUGCCCUUCAGAGGGUGACAACAGUUGGAAACGACUGCUAAUACCGCAUAAUGCAGGAUGUGAUUGCGUCUGAUUAGCUAGUUGGAGGGGUAACGUCCCACCAAGGCGAUGAUCAGUAACCGGUCUGAGAGGAUGAACGGCCACAUUGGGACUGGUACACGGCCCAGACUCCGUCGGGAGGCAGCAGUGGGGAAUCUGCCGCAAUGGACGAAAGUCUGACGGAGCAACGCCGCGUGAGUGAUGACGGCCUUCGGGUUGUAAAGCUCUGUUAAUCGGGACGCGGUACCGGAAUAGAAAGCCACGGCUAACUACGUGCCAGCAGCCGCGGUAAUUC